rnacentral:rRNA from 1 species
ACGAACGCUGGCGGCGUGCCUAAUACAUGCAAGUAGCACGCUGAAGCUUGGUGCUUGCACCGAGCGGAUGAGUUGCGAACGGGUGAGUAACGCGUAGGUAACCUGCCUGGUAGCGGGGGAUAACUAUUGGAGACGAUAGCUAAUACCGCAUAAGAGUAGAUGUUGCAUGACAUUUGCUUAAAAGGUGCAAUUGCAUCACUACCAGAUGGACCUGCGUUGUAUUAGCUAGUUGGUGAGGUAACGGCUCACCAAGGCAACGAUACAUAGCCGACCUGAGAGGGUGAUCGGCCACACUGGGACUGAGACACGGCCCAGACUCCUACGGGAGGCAGCAGUAGGGAAUCUUCGGCAAUGGACGGAAGUCUGACCGAGCAACGCCGCGUGAGUGAAGAAGGUUUUCGGAUCGUAAAGCUCUGUUGUAAGAGAAGAACGAGUGUGAGAGUGGAAAGUUCACACUGUGACGGUAUCUUACCAGAAAGGGACGGCUAACUACGUG